UAGGGAAUCUUCCACAAUGGACGAAAGUCUGAUGGAGCAACGCCGCGUGAGCGAUGAAGGCCUUCGGGUCGUAAAGCUCUGUUGUUAGGGAAGAACAAGUACCGGAGUAACUGCCGGUACCAUGACGGUACCUAACCAGAAAGCCACGGCUAACUACGUGCCAGCAGCCGCGGUAAUACGUAGGUGGCAAGCGUUGUCCGGAAUUAUUGGGCGUAAAGCGCGCGCAGGCGGUCCUUUAAGUCUGAUGUGAAAGCCCACGGCUCAACCGUGGAGGGUCAUUGGAAACUGGGGGACUUGAGUGCAGAAGAGGAAAGCGGAAUUCCACGUGUAGCGGUGAAAUGCGUAGAGAUGUGGAGGAACACCAGUGGCGAAGGCGGCUUUCUGGUCUGUAACUGACGCUGAGGCGCGAAAGCGUGGGGAGCAAACA
rnacentral:rRNA from 1 species